CCUACGGGAGGCAGCAGUGAGGAAUAUUGGUCAAUGGACGAGAGUCUGAACCAGCCAAGUAGCGUGAAGGAUGACUGCCCUAUGGGUUGUAAACUUCUUUUAUAUGGGAAUAAAACGUUCCACGUGUGGGAUUUUGUAUGUACCAUAUGAAUAAGGAUCGGCUAACUCCGUGCCAGCAGCCGCGGUAAUACGGAGGAUCCAAGCGUUAUCCGGAUUUAUUGGGUUUAAAGGGUGCGUAGGUGGAUUGUUAAGUCAGUUGUGAAAGUUUGCGGCUCAACCGUAGAAUUGCCGUUGAUACUGGCAGUCUUGAGUACAGUAGAGGUGGGCGGAAUGCGUGGUGUAGCGGUGAAAUGCUUAGAUAUCACGCAGAACUCCGAUUGCGAAGGCAGUUCACUGGACUGCAACUGACACUGAGGCUCGAAAGUGUGGGUAUCAAACAGGAUUAGAUACCCGUGUAGUC
rnacentral:rRNA from 1 species